CCCUUAGAUGUUCUGGGCCGCACGCGCGCUACACUGAUGAAUUCAACGAGCACUAACCUGUGCCGAAAGGUUCGGGUAAUCUUGUGAAAUUUCAUCGUGAUGGGGAUUGAUUAUUGCAAUUUUUAAUCAUAAACGAGGAAUGCCUAGUAAGCGUGAGUCAUCAGCUCACGUUGAUUACGUCCCUGCCCUUUGUACACACCGCCCGUCGCUCCUACCGAUUGAAUGUGCCGGUGAAAAGUUCGGAUUGGAGAUAGGAAACGGCAACGUAUCCUAUUUCCGAGAAAAUCUUUAAACUUUCCCAUUUAGAGGAAGGAGAAGUCGUAACA
rnacentral:rRNA from 1 species